rnacentral:rRNA from 1 species
CCUACGGGUGGCUGCAGUGGGGAAUAUUGCACAAUGGGCGCAAGCCUGAUGCAGCCAUGCCGCGUGUGUGAAGAAGGCCUUCGGGUUGUAAAGCACUUUCAGCGGGGAGGAAGGCGUUAAGGUUAAUAACCUUGUCGAUUGACGUUACCCGCAGAAGAAGCACCGGCUAACUCCGUGCCAGCAGCCGCGGUAAUACGGAGGGUGCAAGCGUUAAUCGGAAUUACUGGGCGUAAAGCGCACGCAGGCGGUCUGUCAAGUCGGAUGUGAAAUCCCCGGGCUCAACCUGGGGACUGCAUUCGAAACUGGCAGGCUAGAGUCUUGUAGAGGGGGGUAGAAUUCCAGGUGUAGCGGUGAAAUGCGUAGAGAUCUGGAGGAAUACCGGUGGCGAAGGCGGCCCCCUGGACAAAGACUGACGCUCAGGUGCGAAAGCGUGGGGAGCAAACAGGAUUAGAUACCCUUGUAGUC